rnacentral:rRNA from 1 species
UGCCAGCCGCCGCGGUAAUACGUAAGUCCCAAGCAUUACACGGAAUCACUGGGUGUAAAGCGUUUGUAGGCUGGUGAAUAAGUCAAAUGUGAAUGGCUGGGGCUCAACCCCAUGCUUGUAUUCGAAACUGUUCAUCUAGAAUCAGGGAGAGGUGAGCGGAAUUCUAAGUGUAGGGGUGCAAUCCGUAGAUACUUAGAAGAACACCAAAAGCGAAGGCAGCUUACUGGAACUGUAUUGACGCUGAGAAACGAAAGCGUGGGUAGCGAAAAGGAUUAGAUA